CUUUUUGGAGUGGCUUCUUUCUUCCUCCUUAGUAGCUUUGCUAUUUUUCCCAGCACGGGACACCUUCUGGUCCCCAGACUGCUUGAUGGUGAUCUUGAUCUCAGGUGGGCAUAUAUAGUUCUCCAGAUUCUUUGGGGGUUUCUUAGCCCGCUUGGUGGUCUGAAUCUUCAGCUUCAGACUCCCCUCAGUGAAGUUUGCCUCCUUGAUGGAAAACUCCUGCUCUUCC
rnacentral:lncRNA from 1 species